UACGUAGGGGGCAAGCGUUGUCCGGAAUCAUUGGGCGUAAAGCGCGUGUAGGCGGUUCGGUAAGUCUGCUGUGAAAGUCCAGGGCUCAACCCUGGGAUGCCGGUGGAUACUGUCGGGCUAGAGUGCGGAAGAGGCGAGUGGAAUUCCCGGUGUAGCGGUGAAAUGCGUAGAUAUCAGGAGGAACACCGGUGGCGAAGGCGGCUAUCUGGACAGAGUCUGACGCUGAGGCGCGAAAGCUAGGGGAGCAAACGGG
rnacentral:rRNA from 1 species